rnacentral:lncRNA from 1 species
CUUUUUUUUUUGUUGAAAAUGGAGGACUUAAUUUUGGUCCCAAACGGCAUAAGCUAUAGCAAAUUCCUUUUGCAUCUGGUUAUUGCUACUUCUUGGAACCAUGCAAAAUUGCAGACUGAACAUUUAGUUUUUAAAACGAAUUGCAGACCAAACAUUGAAAAGCUUGCGCAUGCAUAACCGUAGCAGUAGCACCAGCCACCAGGGCAGUAUGCAG